CGCGGAAUGGCCAGGCCUGGCUCCGGACUCAAAGAGAGAUUUAAGCUCCGGGCUUGGCUGCCGGGAAGAAGCGACACACAGAAAAAGGCAAGGCCAGCAGGGCUAUGAAACCUGAGCUGCUCUGGAAACCCUCACUGCCCGAUCCUCCUCCACAGGCUCACCGUCCAUUUCCCCGGUCCCUCGUCUUCUUGCCCAACACCGGCCUUCAAUUUGGAGACUGAAGAUUACAUGAAGAUUGAAGAUACCACAACUGGCUGCAGAUGACUCACAAUUGGCCCACCAUGUUUAUGGAAAUAUUAGUGAUAUAUAUUAAAUUGUGCACCUGGAAAUUAGUGCAACUGUGAAGCAUUUCCCAGAAAAUCCACAUCUGUCUGAAGAUGAGUCUAAAGAUGAGUGACGGACAGCUGGAUAGGAUGGUGGGGAGUCCUCCAAGGAAUCCCACUGGGCAUUAUGCUUUAAUUAUUUGAAAGGAAAAAAAGACAUGAAAGUUUAAGUGUCUUCAAGCUUACAUCCUGUGUUGGAAGACUUGUCCUCCAGUACAAAUCAACUUUAUAAAAACAAUCCUUCAGCAUUUUGUUCAGCCAGCAAAAGAGGUGGAUUCCUUCCCAGUUGAUUCAUUCACCGCAUUUCCUGCAGAAUGGAUUCAACUGAACAAACUUAGAAUCACUGGCCAGGGAUCAAAGUUGCAGUCCUGGGGGUUCCUUCCUAGGACAUUUCUCAAGGAAAACUCAGUCACCUAGGUAGAACCAGAAGUUGUUUUUGAACCAACCAUCAGCUAUAAUUGAACAAGGAAACUACUAUUUACUUUGUGAUUUAGAGUAUUUCAAAGAAAUGUACUGUAAUAAAAACAACUAAUAUUUAUAUAGUACUACCAGGUGCCACAAUUCUGAAUGUUUUCCUUUUAUUAACUCAUUUAAUCUUAAUGACAACCCUACAAAUCAAGUACUGCUAAUAUUAUCAUUCCCAUUUUAUAGAUAAGGGAGCUAAAGGACAGUGAAGUUGAGUAACCUGCCCAAGUUCACACAGCAAGUAAGAAGCAGAGCCUGAGGUCAAACCUAGAUAGUCUUUGCCUUUGUUUCCCUAUUCUACCUGUCUACAACUUAAGAGGUUCCUUUUAAUUUUUGACAGUUUUUCUCAAUGGAACUGCAAAUAUAGAUUUAAAAGUCUAUUUUGUUUAAUCAAAAUGAUUUUCACUCUUUUCAGAACUUUUAAGGUAUAAUUAGUUCCUUGGAAAAAUGAUUAUAGAAUUAUGUUUCUUUUGUAGAUAAAGAAUGACAAAGAUGAUAGAAGGAAAUCUUUUGGGAUUGAAGUUCUUCAGAGCUGUAUGAAAUUAUUGUGAUUUUUGUCUUACUAUUUCACUAUUGUAUUUUAAGUAUUACAAUUAGAAAAUGUAUCCUUGCUUUUUCAUUUUGUUUUCUAUAUGCUGUCAUUUCUCAUUUUAUGAAGAGAAUGCCAUUGCACAUAGUAUAAAAAUGUUUGCAAAUAUAGAAAUAGCAACUUUUAUCUGAAGAAACAAAGAGCACAGUUCUGCAGCUCAAUUAUACAUACAGAAGCAAAUAAAUUUAUGUAACAGCUUACAUUUUGACCUGUUUUUCAGAAGAAUGAAAGCAAAGUAAUUAUAUUGGAUAAUCUUUUAUUAAAAUUAGUUGAAAACCAAUGUAGCUCAUGUUAUAACUCACCUAGCAGUCAAUAUUACCAACUUUUUAAACUCCAAAAUUUAUUUCAUUUCUGCAACUAAGUAAAUUAUUAUUUUGGUUGAAUUAAAGCAAAACUUAAGUUAUGCUACUUGCUGAUGGUUU